CGAGACCGAUAGCGAACAAGUACAAGUACAUGAGGGAAAGUUGAAAAGAACUUUGAAGAGAGAGUUUAAGAGUACGUGAAACCGUUCAGGGGUAAACCUGAGAAACCCGAAAGAUCGAAAGGAGAGAUUCAAUGUUAUAGUUGUCUUCCAUUUAGUGGCGUGCGAUUGACCGGGAUUCGUCCCGCGAUACGCCGUCGGUUUAUGUGUCAGGCGGCGUUGGCAUGCACUUCUCUCUCAGUAGGACGUCGCGACCCGUUUGGUGUCGAUCUACGACCGCGGCGGUAGCCUGUCACGAAUUUAUUCGCGCCAGACCCCGCGUGCUCCGGCCGACUGCCAGACGGUAUAAAUGAUAUGGUAUAGGGUCGCUUUUAAACGUUCGGCCGGUUGCAAGCACGGACGGUUAUUGGGCGUCGGACCUAGUCCGGCAUCGAUGCCGCCUCGAGCUGUUAGCUACCGUGUUCUCGAACGGACUCUAUUACCGGUCAGCGAUGCUAUUGCUUUGGGUACUUUCAGGACCCGUCUUGAAACACGGACCAAGGAGUCUAGCAUGUGCGCGAGUCAUUGGGAAAUACAAAACCUAAAGGCGCAAUGAACGUAAAGGUUUGCUUAAGUAAACUGAGGGAUGACGGACCGCAUCUACGGAUGCGUGCUUGCAAUCCCGAGGCGUCUCACUCUCAUUGCGAGAAGAGACGCACUCAGAGCGUACACGCUAGGACCCGAAAGAUGGUAAACUAUGCCCGGUCAGGUCGAAGUCAGGGGAAACCCUGAUGGAGGACCGUAGCGAUUCUGACGAGCAAAUCGAUCGUCGGAACUGGGUAUAGGGGCGAAAGACUAAUCGAACCAUCUAGUAGCUGGUUCCCUCCGAAGUUUCCCUCAGGAUAGCUGGCAAUCGAUGAGCGAGUCUCAUCCGGUAAAGCGAAUGAUUAGAGGCCUUGGGGCCGAAACGACCUCAACCUAUUCUCAAACUUCAAAUGGGUGAGAUCUCUGACUUGCUUGAAUAGUGAAGCCAGAGAUUUGGAUCAGAGUGCCUAGUGGGCCAUUUUUGGUAAGCAGAACUGGCGCUGUGGGAUGAACGAAACGCCGAGUUAAGGCGCCUAAACGACGCUAAUGGGAUACCAUGAAAGGCGUUGGUUGCUUAAGACAGCAGGACGGUGGCCAUGGAAGUUGGAAUCCGCUAAGGAGUGUGUAACAACUCACCUGCCGAAGCAACUAGCCCUGAAAAUGGAUGGCGCUGAAGCGUCGUGCCUAUACUCGGCCGCCAGGGCAUGAGAAACGUUCAUAAUAGUUCGUUUUGACGCCCUGGUGAGUAGGAGGGUCGCGGUGGUGUGCGCAGAAGGGUUUGGGCGUAAGCCUGCCUGGAGCCGCCAUCGGUGCAGAUCUUGGUGGUAGUAGCAAAUACUCCAGCGAGGCCCUGGAGCACUGACGUGGAGAAGGGUUUUGUGUGAACAGCCGUUGCACACGAGUCAGUCGAUCCUAAGCCCCAGGAGAAAUCCUAUGUUGAUGUUGGUGUAUUUUAUUUUGAAUAAAAUUUCACACCUAUCGGGCGAAAGGGAAUCCGGUUCCUAUUCCGGAACCCGGCAGCGGAACCGUUAACAAGUCGGGCCCUCGCAAGAGAGUUUGUCGGGGUAACCCAAAAUGACCUGGAGACGCCGUCGGGAAAUACGGGAAGAGUUUUCUUUUCUGUAUGAGCGUUCGAGUUCCCUGGAAUCCUCUAGAAGGGAGAUAGGGUUUGGAACGCGAAGAGCACCGCUGUUGCGGCGGUGUCCGUAUCUUCCCCUCGGACCUUGAAAAUCCAGGAGAGGGCUACGGUAGGUGUCGCGCCGGUUCGUACCCAUAUCCGCAGCAGGUCUUCAAGGUGAAGAGCCUCUAGUCGAUAGAUAAAUGUAGGUAAGAGAAGUCGGCAAAUUGGAUCCGUAACUUUGGGAUAAGGAUUGGCUCUGAGGAUCGGGGCGUGCCGGGCUUGGUUGGGAAGCGGGCGUAGGCCGAUGUGCCGGGCCUGGGCGAGGUGAAAUUGUCCUUGUGACUUAGAUCCGAGCUCGGUCCCGUGUCUAGGCCUCCCGCGGAUCUUUCUUGCUGCGAGGUUUCUGUGCCGGCUUUGGUCGGUCAGUCGUACUCUUCGGCCGCCAUUCAACGGUCAGCUCAGAACUGGCACGGACUAGGAAAAUUCGACUGUCUAAUUAAAACAAAGCAUUGCGAUGGCCCUAGCGGGUGUUGACGCAAUGUGAUUUCUGCCCAGUGCUCUGAAUGUCAACGUGAAGAAAUUCAAGCAAUCGCGGGUGAACGGCGGGAGUAACUAUGACUCUCUUAAGUGGCAGCGUCAGUAAAGGGAUUGCAGACAUUACUCAGUCAUGCUGAGAAUUUUCUCGCAAGUUGUGGCCUGAGGAUUAACACCAACAAGUCCUUUACGGUAGCGAUUAAGAACGUGCCGCACGUGAAGAAGUCAUUUGUCGAUAAUGAUAUUUUCUUCAAAUGUGGGACGCAAACACUACCUGCAAAGUCAAGGGUCGACGGCUGGACUUACUUGGGGGUAGAAUUCACUCCCGAGGGUGCCAAUAUUGGUGAUCUUAAAGCGAAACUCCAGUCAACUAUUGAAAAAAUAACCAAAGCACCAUUGAAACCACAACAACGGUUAUUUGCGCUAAGAACCAUUGGCAUUCCUAAGUU
rnacentral:rRNA from 1 species